AAGGACGACGCGCAGGAAGCGCAGCAAAACAACACGGAUUCGUAGGAUUGCUUGCCAGGAUGGCGAGUCGACCAGGGAAGUCAGGAACCAAUCUGCAGAACCCCGCGCUAGCGGGGUUUU
rnacentral:sRNA from 1 species